rnacentral:rRNA from 1 species
AGUUCGGAUUCUGGCCUGUGAUUGAACGCUAUACAAGCUACAUGCAAGUCGAACGGCAGCACGGACUUCCGGUCUGGUGGCGAGCGGCGAAACGGUGGAGUAGUCGUGACGGAACGCCUAGUAGCGGGGGAUAACUACGCGAAAGGUAGCUAAUACCGUACAUUGCCCUUCGGGGAAAGCGGGGACCUUCGCCUCGCACUAUUAGAGCGGCCGAUAUCGGAUUAGCUAGUUGGUGGCAACGGCUCACCAAGGCGACGAUCCGUAGCUGGUUUGAGAGGACGACCAGCCACACUGGGACUGAGACACGGCCCAGACUCCUACGGAGGCAGCAGUGGGAAUUUUGGACAAAUGGGGAAACUCCUGAUCCAGCCAUCCUGCGCGUGUGUGCGAUGAAGGCCUUCGGGUUGUAAAAAGUUACUUUGGCAGGAAAGAAACGGCACGGGAUAAUACCCUGUGCAACUGACGGUACCUGCAGAAUAAGCACCGGCUAACUACGUGCCAGCAGCCGCGCAAUGAUGCGUAGGGUGCAAGCGUGAUCUGAAUUGUCGCUAAAGCGUGCGCAGGCGGUUCGGAAAGAUGUGAACCGGAAUAACUUUGGAACUGCAUUUUUAACUACCGGAGCUUGGGGAGUGUGUCAGAGGGAGGCAAUCAGCGUGUAGCAGGAAAUGCGUAGAUAUGCGGAGGAACACCGAUGGCGAAGGCAGCCUCCUGGGAUAACACUGACGCACGAAAGUGGGGAGCAAACAGGAUUAGAUACUCCGGUAGUCCACGCCCCAAACGACGCUAACUAGCUGUUGGGGCCUUUGGCCUUGGUAGUGCAGCUAAUUCAGAAGUUGGACCGCCUGGGAGCAAGCGGUCGCAACAUUUAAAACCCGCGAAUUGACGGGGACCCGCACAAGCGGUGGAUGAUGUGAUUAAUUCGAUGCAACGCGAAAACCUUACCUACCCUUGAUAUGUUCGAACCCGAAGAGAUUUGGGAGUGCUCGAGAACCGAAAUUCAUGAGGAAGGGUGAUGGCUGCCUGCUCAAAUGAGAAGGGUUAAGUCCCGCAACGAGCGCAACCCUUGUCAUUAGUUGCUAGCUAAAAGGCACCGAUUGUAGACGUUUUGCGAUAAACCGGAGGAAGGUGGGAUGACGUCAAGUCCUCAUGGCCCUUAUGGGUAGGGCUUCACACGUCAUAAUGUUCGACAGGGUCGCCAACCCAUAGGAGCCAAUCCCAGAAACCCGAUCGUAGUCCGGAUCGCAGUCUGCAACCUGACUGCGUGAAGUCGGAAUCGCUAGUAACGCGGAUCAGCAUGUCGCGGUGAAUACGUUCCCGGGUCUUGUACACACCGUCGGCGACCAUGCGGGGAGUGGUUUUACCAGAAGUAGUUAGCUCAACCAAAGGAGGGCGAUUACCACGUAGGAUUCAUGACUGGGUGAGAAGCCGCAACAGCCUGAA